AUGACCUUCAUCAUUAUCUUCAUCUGGACUCUUUCAUACUGCUUUAUACUACAAGGGUGUAAAGCUCAGAUCACAGUCACUCAGACUCCUUCAGCUAAACCUGUCACACCAGGAGAAAAUGUUAAGAUGAGCUGUAAGUUUAGUUCUGCUCCAGUCUGCAGCACACCCUGUGUGUCCUGGUACUUACAGAAACCUGGAGAAGCUCCUAAACUCCUGAUUUAUAGAACAAACACCCUCCAGUCAGGAACUCCAUCUAGAUUCAGUGGCAGUGGAUCUAACAGUGAUUUCACUCUGAGCAUCAGUGGAGUCCAGACUGAAGAUGCUGGACAUUAUUACUGUCAGGGAAGACACUACAUCAGUAGUAGCUGGGUGUUCACACAGUAAUUGUGAGUGGUACAAAAACCUGUGUCAGUCAGAGUCACAGUGACUGAACUGAUGCUGCAGCUGAUCAAACACUAUCACUCACUACUGACACACAGAGACCAAACACAGAACUACACAUGAGCUCACAACUGAGUUAGGACUCACAUCAGCUCUAUUAGACUCAGAUCUGUCCUGGGACAGACGGGUUUGACUCAGUUAUGCUCUGAUUUUGUGAUGAAUUGAUAUCAAAUCAAUCCAA